rnacentral:lncRNA from 1 species
AUGGUAGCUCACACCUGUAAUCCUAGCCCUCAGGAGGGAGAGCAGGAGAGUUGCUACAAGUUCUGUCUGGACCUCGCAAUGAGACUGUUUCAAACAAAAUGAUACUUUUAGCCCACUUUUGCCCCAUCCAACCGUAGUUGACUUGUUCUUCAGGGAACAAGUCACUAGUAAAUAUCACAGUAAAGGCACAUGAGCAGGUGGUAUUGAGCAACCAAAAUCGACACUUGGAAUUCCAUCUCAGCUCUCAUUCUUAAGCAGUAGGAGCCUCUUACCCUAGAGCAAGAAUUAUAGCUUUGUACUGUUUGAGUAAUGUUAAGUAUUUGGUCAGUCAUUGCUCAGCACAUUAAUUACGUGAAAUGAUGCUUUUCACUAAUAGGUGCAAUCAUCGCUUUCCACAUCACAAAGCAGAAUCUAAGUUGAUUGCCAAGCCAUACAAUCCAGAAGCUCUGGGGCUCUCCUGGGCCUGCUAAAGAGUUUGCCUUGGAAGAAUCAGACAGCAGGAUGGACUUAGGAGGACAUCUAGUGGCAGAGCAGUGGCUGCCCUGGAACUCUCAAUGUAGACCAGGCUGGCCUGGAACUAACAGAGAUCACCUGCCUCUGACUCCUAGAUACUGGUAUUAAAGGUAUUCAACACC